GUUCUACUAGUGUUUUUAAUAUUACAAGGAAAUCAAAAUGGUGCAGCAAACUUUUUAUCUUAUCGUUCUGUUAAUGCUUUUGGUAUUCAGUCAUGGUCAACCAUUAGAUAACUUUGAUGGUGAAACCCUUUGGAGGACUGCUAGAAGUUUGGCAGAAAUAACGAAACAGGCUGUUAACGUGUUUAGAAGUCUCAUGGCUGACUGAGAUAAAAGAUACAUUGCUAAAUAACCAAAUAUAUUUAAAAAAGUUUAGUUAAUAAAAUACUAAAUAAUU